rnacentral:rRNA from 1 species
GAUGAACGCUGGCGGCGUGCCUAAUACAUGCAAGUCGAGCGAACAGACGAGGAGCUUGCUCCUCUGACGUUAGCGGCGGACGGGUGAGUAACACGUGGAUAACCUACCUAUAAGACUGGGAUAACUUCGGGAAACCGGAGCUAAUACCGGAUAAUAUAUUGAACCGCAUGGUUCAAUAGUGAAAGACGGUUUUGCUGUCACUUAUAGAUGGAUCCGCGCCGCAUUAGCUAGUUGGUAAGGUAACGGCUUACCAAGGCAACGAUGCGUAGCCGACCUGAGAGGGUCAUCGGCCACACGGGAACUGAGACACGGUCCAGACUCCUAAGGGAGGCAGCAGUAGAGAAGCAUCCGCAAUAGGCGAAAGCCUGACGGAGCAACGCCGCGUGAGUGAUGAGGGUCUUCGGAUCGUAGAAGUCUGUUAUUAGGGAAGAACAAAUGUGUAAGUAACUAUGCACGUCUUGACGGUACCUAAUCAGAAGGCCACGGCUAACUACGUG